rnacentral:lncRNA from 1 species
AGAGUGUAAAAACAACAAUUGUUGAUCAGCUGAAAAUGGAAAGACCCGAGUUUAUCAUAACCAAGACCCCAUUUCUCCAAUUUUUCCUUCUCCAAAAAUAAAAAUCCAACCACCCCUUCACCACCACCACCCAUCAUCCCCAUUAAUAGAAAAGUAACAUCAUUUAAGAUUACACAGAAUAAAACCAGAAAUUAAGUAAAACAGAAAAAAGGGGAAAUUUCUCCAAACCUAAAACGUUAAGAAGAAAAAUGAGGAGGUGGAGGUAACAAUUGAUGUGCUGGCUGAUGAACCUGAUUAGGAAGUGGCAUCAUAUUACCGGUGGUGGUGGCGGCUGGGCUAUUCUGGGUAAUAAAUGGAUGACGCAACAGCUGCACCGCCGUCCACCGUCGUGCAGGAUCCCUCUGCAAACAGCAAGCAAUAAAGUCCCUGAACUCUCUAGAAGCAUUCGCCGGAGCCUCCGGCGGCUGCGACAUACAAAUGGCGCACAUAAGACUAGCCCAAUCACCUGACCUCCCAACAGAAAACGGAAACCUUCCCAAAUAAAACUCCAAUAUGCUAACACCAAGACUCCAUAUAUCUCCAGCAUACCCAUCGUACUGUCCAUGAUUCAGAUCUGUGUUGAUUCUCUCUGGACUCAUAUAGGCAAUUGUCCCAACUGACGAAUUACAAGGAUCCAUAGUUUGUGCCAGCACUCUCGACACCCCAAAGUCAGCAAUUUUCACCUCGCGCCUCGAGUUGAUUAGUAAAUUCGAGGGCUUGAUAUCUCUGUGCACAAUCUUACGCCUGUGGAGAUAAUAGAGACCCGAGAGGACUUGUCGGGUUAGAUCCGAAAGAGCUGACUCUUUAGGGAUGUGGAUCCCUUCGAGAGAGCCUUUAUCCAUGAAUUCAAGGAGGACUUGGAUUUCACCGUUGUGAUCGAACAUAUCGUGACAUCUA